rnacentral:sRNA from 1 species
GUCGUGAGAUGUUGGGUUAAGUCCCGCAACGAGCGCAACCCCCGUCGCAUGUUGCCAGCAUUCAGUUGGGGACUCAUGCGAGACUGCCGGUGACAAACCGGAGGAAGGUGGGGAUGACGUCAAGUCCUCAUGCCCCUUAUGUCCAGGGCUACACACGUGCUACAUUGGCGCAUACAGAGGGUUGCGAUACCGCGAGGUGGAGCGAAUCCCUUAAAGUGCGUCUCGGUUCGGAUUGCAGGCUGAAAUUCGCCUGCAUGAAGGCGGAGUUGCUAGUAAUCGCGGAUCAGCACUGCCGCGGUGAAUAUGUUCCCGGGCCUUGUACACACCGCCCGUCACACCACGGGAGUGAGCAACACCCGAAGCCGGUGGCCUAACCCGCAAGGGAGGGAGCCGUCGAAGGUGGGGCUCGUGACUGGGGUGAAGUCGUAACAAGGUAGCCGUAGCGGAAGCUGCGGCUGGAUCACCUCCUUUCUAGGGAGCACCUAGCGGUGCCCCGAUCCAGGGUCCGUCCUCGGACGGCCCCGUGCGGUCGCCGACCCGCCCGUGCCCAGCACGGGGCCGAGGCCGGCGAUGUCCAAGCGGAUCGGGCCUAGCAUGUCGACCGAACCUGGCUGGAUGGCCGCCGUCGAGCGCGCCCCGUUACUACUUGCGGGGUUCACACGGCGGAGGCCGCAAACUACGCCAGCAUGCUGUUGAGUUUUGAGAGACCGGCGCCCGCCGGUACCCGCGAGGACGCGUCAAAUAGACGACGCGACCGCAAAGCGCGCGGAGGCCGGCCGGCGUUCACGCCUCUCCACGGUCCUUGAAAACUGCACAGAAGCCACGUCAGCCGCCAUCGAUAAGCGGCGGCUGAUACGAGCUCGCCUCUCGAGGCGAGCUCAUCGGGUAUCACCGGGCCCUCUGUGACCGAACCCGCCUGGCCGUGUUCCGCAAGGAGCGCGACGGGCGACGAGGCCACGUUGGGCCAGAUCACCGUCAAGAUAGUAAGGGCACACGGUGGAUGCCUUGGCACCAAGAGUCGAAGAAGGGCGUGAACGGCUGCGAUAAGCCACGGUUAGGCGCUUAAUAGCCCGUGACCCGUGGAUUC